CUUGUUCUUGUUGAUGUUAGUUUGUUUUACGUGAAGCAUCCCUGUUUUUAUGACUAGAAAACGCAAAGACUUUGAUCCAAGCUUUUACUUAUAGGUUCUUGAAUAUAGGACUUGCAGUCCUUCAGUGAAUUUUGAAAAGUUGAGUGCUUGUCUUCUCAGGAAAUAAUAGAGCCAAGAAAUGUGUGUGUCAUAUUAAGAUAUCUAUAGAUCUAUAUGUUUAUACUCCUAUCAUGUUUAAAAUAAAAAUGCUUAACCUACUUGACAGACUAUAAAUAAAUAUGUAAAUCAGUUUUCUUAUAUUCUUCAGCUUGAAUUUAGAGAACUAACAUUUUAUAAAAUGUCCAUAUUGAAUAACAUAGGUGAAUAGAAGGUACACUUCUUUAGCAGAAUGCU
rnacentral:lncRNA from 1 species